ACGUGAAAACUUAGCUCUUAUCCGUUUGUUCGCAUAAAAUAAGAAAAUAUUCACUGUAUUGUGUGCUCGUAACGAAUGAAUAAUAAUAAAUUAAUUCGCAUUAACAACAAUGCCGUGUUGCAUUUCUUUAUAAUGACGCUGAUAAAACUCGUCUCGUGCCAAACGUAUCAUUAAAUAAUUUAGUAUUUACUGCUGGAAAUUCUUCUUUCGUUUACUUCGAAUUACUUGUUCUCGGCGUUGUUGGUUAUCGAUGAAGAAAGAAAAGACUGGAAUAUUAUUAUGUAUACUUAAAAUGAAAUAUUGAUUAAAUUUUGGUGAAAUUGACAGAUUGCCCAACAUUAACUCGUUCGUGGAUACAUUGUGGAUAACUUAUUGCGAGAAGAUAAAAGGAAGACAAGAAGAAGGAGAAGAAUAUCGUGUACCUGCGAAGAGUACCGAAAAAACGGGAGCGAUCGGAAGACAAGGUUGGAAAAAGAAAGCAAAAGCGAACUGUAGCUGAAAGAAGAGAAAACGUGUUUCGUAGCCCGGAGCUACAGUCUGUUCUGGUGAAAGCCCAUGCGCGUUGAUUUUUCUCGAAAUGUUCAUGCCGACGUUAUGCCAGAAUCAGUUCUCUGUCAGGCAACAGCUGAUCUCUCGGGAAACUUAUCGUCGAACCUGUUAAACAAUUGUCACAUUGAUUUACGCUGUUUUAUGAAACACUGUAAUAUACAUAUUACAUAGUCAAGAAUAACGAAAGCAUAGAAAAGCUAAUAUAAGGAGAACUAAUAACGACAUAAUGCAAUACCGCAGGGAUUGACUGUGCAAUGAAAAGAAAAACAAUCUGGCAAUUUCAGAAGCAUAGGGACCAACAAAAUACAGGAUCACCUUGAUCAUGAUUCCAUUGAUGCGAGCAACAAUUAUAAAAUAUAUUGGGUUGGGGAA